rnacentral:rRNA from 1 species
CUUAAGCAUAUCAAUAAGCGGAGGAAAAGAAACCAACAGGGAUUACCUCAGUAACGGCGAGUGAAGCGGUAACAGCUCAAAUUUGAAAGCUAGCUCUUUUAGGGUUCGCAUUGUAAUUUGUAGAAGAUGCUUCGGGUGUGGCCCCGGUCUAAGUUCCUUGGAACAGGACGUCAUAGAGGGUGAGAAUCCCGUAUGUGACUGGGUGCUUUCGCUCAUGUGAAGCUCUUUCGACGAGUCGAGUUGUUUGGGAAUGCAGCUCAAAAUGGGUGGUAAAUUUCAUCUAAAGCUAAAUAUUGGCCAGAGACCGAUAGCGCACAAGUAGAGUGAUCGAAAGAUGAAAAGCACUUUGGAAAGAGAGUUAAACAGUACGUGAAAUUGUUGAAAGGGAAGCGCUUGCAACCAGACUUGCGCGCUGAUGAUCAUCCGGGCUUCUGCCCGGUGCACUCGUCUGCGCUCAGGCCAGCAUCGGUUUCGGUGGUGGGAUAAAGGCCUUGGGAAUGUAGCUCCUCUCGGGGAGUGUUAUAGCCCUCGGUGCAAUGCCGCCUACCGGGACCGAGGACCGCGCUUCGGCUAGGAUGCUGGCGUAAUGGUUGUAAGCGACCCGUCUUGAAACACGGACCAAGGAGUCUAACAUCUAUGCGAGUGUUUGGGUGUCAAACCCAUACGCGUAAUGAAAGUGAACGGAGGUGAGAACCCUUAAGGGUGCAUCAUCGACCGAUCCUGAUGUCUUCGGAUGGAUUUGAGUAAGAGCAUAGCUGUUGGGACCCGAAAGAUGGUGAACUAUGCGUGAAUAGGGUGAAGCCAGAGGAAACUCUGGUGGAGGCUCGCAGCGGUUCUGACGUGCAAAUCGAUCGUCAAAUUUGCGUAUAGGGGCGAAAGACUAAUCGAACCAUCUAGUAGCUGGUUCCUGCCGAAGUUUCCCUCAGGA